UAGCCUAUGAUGAUGACGUGGGUUUAUUUCGAAUCCUGAUUUCUGAUGGAUUCCUUUUAUCUGAGGCUAGAAUAUUGCAAUUUAUUCCUUUUAAACCAUUUAUUAAAUUAUUAAUUAAUUAUUAAGUUUUCAAGAAAAUUUAUCAAUUUAGUUAUAAAUAUAUAUAUGUAUGUAUUUUUGAUAAAGGAGGAAUUUAGAUAAAAAAAUAUAUUAUCUAUAUUAAAAGAAAACUAGUUUAUGGGUAAAUAUAUAUAUAUAUAUAUAUUAUGAUAUUGCAGCCUAUAAGUGGGUGUGUAGUUCCACUAUACACUUACGCGUAGCAAGCAAAGCGAGACAUGAUGACGUAGUCGAUGGCUUAGCUCGACGAAUUCCAUGACGCCAGAUUUGAAUAUUGCGCGGGCCAAGGCUCAGAUUCUCAGGAUUUUGUUCGAUCUUCUCCCCAGACUCGGACUUGAGUCAUCAUUUCCCAGGCGAGUAGACAGGAUAUGUUAUGAUUACCUUAUAUUAUGCACGUAUAUACUGUUUUAUUCAUAAAUAUUAUAACCUUGUAUAAAUUUUUAUAUGCAUAACUCGUACAUGAUUUUUAUAUGCGGAUCAUAGAAAAAUACUCUUAAAUGUUUCUAAUUUGCAUGAAAUAUUUUCAUCCUACUGGGAGAGACAUAAACUGAAAGAUACCCUAAUUGAUUUCUUGUUUUGAGAAUGUGAAUUAUUGAAUGAUAUGGUGUAUUUUAGGCACCACAUGAAAUGAUAAAUGAUUAUGACUUGUGCAUAAAUUAGGGUAUUAUUUGCAUUAUUAUUAGAGGACUAUCUAGUAGAUUCCCUAGUGACUCACAGCAGGAAAAGAUCAUGGUACUGUGAGGCUUGGCAUGCCAAGGCCAUGAGAGACACGGAUAGUAUGUUUCAGCACUGCUAUCACGUGGGCCUUUAUGAUGAUAUUGUGUGAUGAUGAUGUAUGUGCCGAUAUAUAUACUUGUGUGCAUGUGUAUAUAGGCGUUAGGCCAGUUUCUACUAGUGUGUCCUCAGAAUCAGUGCAUGCAUCUCAUACAAAAGUAUAGG